UGACUUUGUAAGAGCUUUGCAAAGUCAAGGUUUGUUUUGGAUGACUUGGAUUUUAUGAAAUAAAAUAGGGUUUACGUUUUGGGUGAUUUCAAGAGUUUUAUCAUAGAUCUAUGGAUAAAAUUUUGUAAGAUGAUGGUUAUAGUUGUGUUUAAUAUGUGUCGUAAAUUUGAGCUCAAUGUAACGGUUGAAUUGAGGGAUAUUGAGGUUUAAAAGGGUCAAGGUCUCAGAAAGUAGAAUUUUAGAUCCAAUAGGGAUUUUUAAGAUUUCUUGCAAUCUACUUGUUGGAUUGGAGUGAAACUUGCAUGAGAGGAUAUAUGACUUGUUUUUCUAUGUGUAUGAGAAGUUUGAAAUCAAUCGAAUAGUGCAAAGGAGAGAUAUUGGCUCUAGAAGAUUAGCAUCAAGAUUGGAGAAGGAGGCCGGCCAAUACCAGAGCAUAUUUUUGAGGUUAUCGUCAAUUUGCUAACUCCGAUCCUUUUCAAUUUUUUUGUGCUUGUUUUUAACUUAUUGUUUUAGAAGUGUGCAAAAUUUAAGUUAAGAUCAACGGUUUAUUCAUUAUUUAUUGAGGUUUAAAUUUGUUGUAGGAAUUACUAGGGUUUGGUUUAGGGUUUAGAUUAGGAUUUGAUUUAGGAUUUUGGAUUUGAUUUAGGGUUUGAUUGGGAUUUAUUUAGGGUUUAGGAUUUGGUUAGGAUUUGGUUAGGAUUUGAUUUAGGGUUUAGGAUUUGGUUGGGGUUUGGUUUAAGGUUUAGAGUUUAGGAUUUAGGAUUUUAUUAGCAUUUAAGAUUCAAUUAGUUUUGGCCUAAAAUUUGAAUGAAGUUCAAUAGGAUUUUAACAAGAAUUAAAUUAAGUUUGAAUUGAGAUGUAUUUGAGUGAUAUUUGUGAUCCUUCUAAUAUUUCUUUAAGAACUCUUAUUAUUUGUUUGAAAUUUCUUUGAAAUUUUUUUGAAUUUGAUUAAGCUUGUUUAGCAUUAUUAUGAUCUAAUUAGAGUAUUAUUAGUAUUCUAUUAGAAUUAGGAUUUUUUUAUUAUAAUUUCUAUUCUUUUUUCUACAGCUAAGUGCUCGGAGCAUUCUCAAGCAAGACUUCAUGUAUUACAAUAUAUUUGGUGAACCCGACGUGAAACACUUGAGGUGGAAGGAAUUUGGUUUUCUUGGAUUAUUUGAAUUUUGGAGAAGAAAUACAAGAAAGUUGGAAGAAGAGGUUUGGGUGAUAUGUGAAUUAGAGCUUUUGAAUUCUUGGAGCUUUGGAGACUAUCUUAAUAUACAAUGGCAAUAUUUGGAUUAUCAUAGAGUGUUAUAAGGCUUUAUAGAUAUGUUGGAGCAUUUUGAAGUAUCAUAAGGUAUUUAUUGGAGUAUUCCAAGGAACAUUUUUGAUCAUUGUAGAACAAAAUGGAAGAUGUGUCAUUAAGGUUUUUGAAUAUGUCGAAUAUUAUGGAUGGAUCAAAUAUUAGUGAGUUUUUUAAGGCUUUCUAUAUAUUCAUGGAAGAGCAACAAAGAAUGCAAGCAAUUGAAAAAGAUAUCACAAAAGCAUUGCAAGGAGUCAUCAACAAAUUUGGGAGGUUUGAAGGAUGCAACAUCACUAAGUUUUUACAAAUUUAUACAUGUGAGAUGGAGACAUGCCAAAUCCCUGAGGCAAAGAUGAUUUCAAGCUUAUAUUUGGCUAUUGAACCUAGAUUUCAGAUGAAGGUGAAGGGAUUGCUUGAAGGGGGUAUAGAAACAUGGUCAAAAUUUCAAGAACUUUUGAAGAAAGAAUUUAUUGAUGGAUAUGAAGAUAGGAUUACUAAGCGAAAGUUUUUGAAUUGGAUAGAGUUUCAAUCAAGUAAGCAUAUGGAUCUUUAUGAAUUCUUAGAAGAAUUUGAUAGGAGAUUUUAUCAACUCUCAUCCUUGGAGAGACGAUCAUUGGAUGCUUUAAAGGUAGAUUUUUUUUAAAUGGUCUUGAUGAUGCUUUGGGAGAUGAGGUUUUCAUGCUUCUUGAAGUUGAGUCUACAAAGAGUGAUUAUACUAAUAAUUGGAAGAAGUUGAAGGAAGUAGUAGUUGUUUUAGUAAGGCAACAAGAAGAAAAAGCUAAAGAAGUUGCAAUAUGGCCUAAGAAAUCUUCUACUUUGGCUUCUAUGUCAUCUUCAUCAAUGCAAGAGAUUAAUCUUAAAAAAAAAAAGAAAUAGAAGAGCAAGUAGGGGAUUUUAAUAGAGAAGCCAAUUUUUUACAGAUGAAAGAAAUUGGAUCUUAUACCAAGGGUGGUGAAAGAGAGAAGAAAGAUUCUUUUUAAACUAUUACUAUGGAAGGCCAAGGUAUCCAAAAAUUUGAAGGUAAUGUGAAGAUUAAGGAUUUGGAAACUAAUGGCAAUGCGGUUGGAAGCUAUGGCUAUUCUAUAUUGAAUAAGUUUGUGUAAGUUGGUGAUGGCAAUUUGGGUGAAAAAUCUCUUCGUGAUAAAAAGACAUUUUUUACAUUUGAAGAAGGUGAGGAUGUUUUACCUAAUACUUUGGAUUAUGUUGAAGAAUUUAAGGUUGAACCUUUACAAAAAAUGGAUUAUGGAUCCAUUGAAGGUUAUAAUCAUAAAGAUUGUAUGAAUUCAUAAUAUUAUGAUGCAAGAAGUGGUGGGAUUAUGCAUGGAUUUUAUGAUGAAAAUCAAAUUGCAUAUGGCUAUGAGACCACAUAUGAGUUGGGUGAAAGAAGUUAUGAGUUUUUACAUGAUUAUUAUAGAGAGGAUUAUGAGAUUGCAUAAGGUUAUGAUACUAAAUGUGGUUGUGAAACCACAAAGGAUUAUUGUGAAAGUUAUGAGACUUUUCAAGAACAUGAGAUUUUGAAAGGACAUGAGAUUUUUCAAUAUUAUGAAGUUAUACAUUGCUUUGAGACAACAAAAGAUUAUGAUGUUUCACAUGGAUGCAUUCAAGAAGAUAUGAAGGAUGUUAUAUAAGAUUAUGUGGCAAAUAAAGAUUAUGGGACAAAAGAUAAGGAUGCUAAGUCAUUGACCAUGAUUAAGUUAAUUGUGAGCACUUCUCUUUUGGAACAAGGUCAAAGUUACAUAGAUAAUGCACAUGUAAUGGGAACACAAUUGGAUUUUGACAAAGAUAAGAUUCAUUAUGAAGUAUGGAAUUCAAGGGUUGAAAAUCUAAAAAUCUUUAAAUAUAAUGACACAGAAAAUAGAUUUAAAGAUUACAUGGACAUUUUAAAUGGGACUUGGAAUCAAAGAAAUAAGAAAAAAGAUACAAGGAAGAUGUAUGUAGCUAUGAAGAAGAGGUUUCAAUUCAAUCUUUUCAUUUCAAAUUUUGUACCUCGACAAUGGUUUGGUCAUAUGUGCAAAGGAGGAUAUUUGCAAACUACUUGCACAUAUGGAGUAAAUGAAAACAUUGGUAUUAAAAUAUAUAUAUAUAUUGGAGAAGUAUCAUUGUAAAGCAAGACUAUGGAGGUAUAAAAAGAGAAGUACAUUUACAAGAUAUAGAUGCCUUUGAUUUAAGUUUUAUUGAAAAAAAUAAAUAAAUAAAUAAAUAAUGGAGAAGUAUCAUUGUAAAGCAAGACUAUGGAGGUAUAAAAAGGGAGGUACUCUUACAAGAUAAAGGUGCCUUUAAUUUAAGUUUUAUUUAAAAAUAAAAAAUAAAAAAAUAAAAAAAUAAAAAAAUGAUUGAGAAAGAAUUAUGUGAGUUGAAAACAUUAAAAGAUGAUGAAAGAUUUUUGAUAUUUAUCAAGAAAAUGGAUUGGAAGAUUCUUGGAGAAAAUUAUAUAUAUUGGAUUAAAAGAUGAUUUCAAUGGAAGUAAGUGAAGAUACUCAAACAAAAGCAAACAUAAAUAAAUAUAUAAGACUUUGUCAAAGACAUAAAUCUUUUAAGACAACAAGAUGAUUUUGAUUUGAAUAGCAAAUAUGAAGAAGAAGAAUUGGAUGAGGACAUUGAAAAUAUUGUAUGAAUCAAACAAAGUUGGAUUAUUUGGUGCAUACCGAAGGAUGUACAAGUUCAGAGGGGGUGGAUGUCGUGUUGUAACACGACUAUAUAGUGAAAGAUGAUAAUAUGGAUCUUAUUAUAGAAGAGCCACGUUAAAAGAAAAGGUAGAAAAAUAUGGAUAAAAGAUAGGAAGGUAGUAAAACUUUUAGUAGUAAUGCUGCCUUUUUAGAAAAAAUAGCUUCUACUUACUUUGUAGGGCCAAAAAUAAGGCAAUAUAAGGUAGAUUGGAAAAAUAAAUGAUAUAGACAUCUUUAGGAAGAAGUUAAGAGUAAAUUCUAGUAAAAAUUACUUAGAAAAACUAGAUGUUGAUACCCGGAGAGGGCCGGUUAUGAACUAGGAUCGAAAUCAGACCCUAAGGCACAAAACCGAGUCUUGACGAUGAUUCCAAGACUCUUUGGUAAAUUGGAGAGUGAGGUUUGAUAGAAGAUUGGAUAGGGUUUCUAUGGGCAUUGAUUUUGGAUGAUUUGGAGUUGAUUCGACUUUGUAAGAGCUUUGCAAAGUCAAGGUUUGUUUCGGAUGACUUGGGUUUUAUGAAAUAAAAUAGGAUUUACGUUUUGAAUAAUUUCAAGAGUUUUGUCAUAGAUCUAUGUGUGAAAUUUUGUGGGUUUAUUGAGGUUUAAAUCUGUUGUAGGAAUUACUAGGGUUUGAUUUAGGGUUUGGAUUAGGAUUUGAUUUAGGAUUUAGGAUUUGGUUUAGGAUUUGAUUGGGAUUUAUUUAGGAUUUAGGAUUUGGUUAGGGUUUGGUUUAGGAUUUAGGAUUUGGAUUAGGAUUUGGUUAGGUUUUGAUUUAGGAUUUAGGAUUUAGUUGGGGUUUAUUUAGGAUUUAGGAUUUGAUUAGGGUUUGGUUUAGGAUUUAAGAUUUGGUUGGGGUUUAUUUAGGAUUUAGGAUUUGAUUAAGUUUUGGUUUAGGAUUUAGGAUUUGGAUUAGGAUUUGGUUAGGUUUUGAUUUAGGAUUUAGAAUUUAAUUAGGAUUUAGAUUAUGAUUUAGGAUUUGGAUUAGGGUUUGAUUUAGGGUUUAGGAUUUGGAUUAGGAUUUAGUUAGAGUUUGAUUUAGGAUUUAGGAUUUGAUUUAGGAUUUGGUUGGGGUUUGAUUUAAGGUUUAUUUAGGAUUUGAUUUAGGAUUUAGGAUUUGGUUGGGGUUUGAUUUAAGGUUUAUUUAGGGUUUGAUUUAGGAUUUAGGAUUUUAUUAGGAUUUAAAAUUCAAUUAGUUUUGGCCUAAAGUUUGAAUGAAGUUCAAUAGAAUUUUAACUAGAAUUAAAUUAAGAUUGAAUUGAGAUGUAUUUGAGUGAUAUUUGAAAUCCUUCUAAUAUUUCUUUAAGAAUUUUUAUUAUUUUUUUGAAAUUUCUUUGAGGUUUUUUUGAAUUUGAUUAAACUU
rnacentral:lncRNA from 1 species